UCGUGUUGCUUAUUCUUUAGUUUUCUGUGUUAUGUCAUGUGUACUAUUGUUUAUCUGUUUGUCUUUUUCAUUUUUAGCCAUGGCGUUGUCAGUUUAUUUCCAAUUUAUGAGUUUGACUAAUCCUCUGGUAUCUUUCGUUCCUCUUUUAGAGAUGUUAGAGGUAUUCAUAUUUUAAAGUCUUAACUUUAUACAAAUGUGGAAUCUAAAAUGAA
rnacentral:lncRNA from 1 species